rnacentral:lncRNA from 1 species
CAUAGAAUUUGGAUUUUUCUUCUUCGUAGAGUUUUGAGAAGACUGAGGCAAUCGCUGCUGAAGUCAGUGUUGUAAUGGUGAAUCGGGAUUUUAAAUGAAGUGGGUUUGAAUACUCUUGACUGUUUUGUAAAAUCGAGAUACGCCUGUGAUUGAAGGAUUAAAAGGGUGUCUAUAGGAUUGAGUAUGCGGAGUGAAUGAAAUUUAUUGGAUUAAUCUAACAAGACAGUCAGUGGAUACAAGAUCGUAAGUACAAAGGGAUAUUGAAGAUUAACAGUUUGGGUUGUUCGGGGUUCU